UUUUUUUUCCAAUCCUUUGAUAACUUUUGAUUUUGAACUCCAAAUUGGCCCAAAUAAAAUCCAGAAAAUUUGUAAAAUCUUGUUCUAUCAAGAUACAACUUUUGAGAGUAGUUUUCCCUCAAAAUAAAAUAUACAAAAAUACAUUUGCCCUAUAAACGCCUUUAGGGCUAUAUAUCUGUUUGAAUAAAAUACUUUUUCAACUCCAAUUAGUUAACCAAAAAUUAUGGGAUAGCUUAUAUAUGCAUUAAACCCUUUUUAUACAUCAACCCUAUUGGUUUGAAAAUCCAAAGGUUACAGGGAUGUAAACAAAAUCUCUUAAAGCCUUUUGUGAUUCAAAAUUUGAAUUCAAUCAUGCAAUUGUGGCAUGAUGCUCAUGGAUGCAAUGCACAUGUAAAGGUUUGAAAUUUUGGGAUGUUACACAGG
rnacentral:lncRNA from 1 species